rnacentral:lncRNA from 1 species
UUUUCUAGAGGAAGUUCGAACAAAUACAUUCCUAUACAAACGAUACAAUAUAGAAGAGAUACACAAUAGAACACACACAAUACAAUAUAGGCGGAAAAUACAUAAGAAAUACAGAAGGGACACCUGGAAGAUGAAGGGUUGCACAACUUUGCUUCUUCUUGACAAAGUUCGCUGAUACACACACAUAUACGCUGAUACACACACCUAUUCACGCAUAUGCAGAAUACACGCCUGGAAAAUACACACGCCUGGAGAUAUGGAAGAGAGGACUGCGCAACCUCUCAAGAGAGAAGAUCUCUCGAUCCUCGUCGCAUCCCACCGCCCCUGAAACCAAACAGAGUCCUGAAAUACCCUAUUUUCUUCGUGUAUUUUUGUGACUCUCGUCUCAGAAAAUCAGAGGCAUCGCUUUUCUGAAUUUUGUGCCAAUGUGGAGGAUUUGAGGUCGUGUAUGAUUUGAAAUUUCUUGUACUAAUUUGAGGUUUCAUCGAGGUGUUUUCUGUUGGUUGCCGGUUCGAGGAUGGUCAUUGUCGAUUUUAAGUUCAUCGAGUUUCAGUCUUGGUUUAUGUUCCGCGUUUCAGGUAUGUGUUUUUUAUUCAAAAUGAUGUAAAUGUCACUGGAUGGUCUAUUGCACUGAAAUGUGUAAUAGGUAUUCCUUCAUCACGCUGCAAAUUUCAGUAGUCAAAUUUCCUUUUCCCUGUUUCAUUUUGUCACUUAUGUGGUGAUUAUAUGAUCCAGUUUCAGCUUCUUUC